GUUGUGAAACGUCAAAUAUGGAUGCUCAGAUGCACAACGCUAAUUUGACAGAAUGAACAACAAGAGCACUACUUCCUAUUAUGUGAUACUUUGCCAGAGGACAGGAUCCUUAGGGAACAUCUACAACAGAUGUGUGUCUGUCAUGCAUGUUAGGUCUUUACCGCUUAAUGGCUAAAGAACAUUCCUUCAGUAUUGGCCUGCCUGAUAACAUUGUCUACUGCACAGAGUUCCUCAACACUCUCGAGAGAAAACUGGAGAAGUGAGUGCUCAUAUUUAAGUAACUAAGUUAGUAGUCAAGUUUGUGUAUUACUGCAUACUUUUAACAUACACUACCGGUCAAAAGUUUUGAAACACUCAUUCUUUAUUAUAAUUUUUUUCUUCACAUUUUAGAAUAAUAGUAAAGUCAUCAAUACUAUCAAUGGAAUAACAUAAAUGGAACUAUGGGAAUUAUGUUGUGACUAAACAAAAUCCAAAAUAAAUCAAAACUGUGUUAUAUUUUAGCAUCUUCAAAGUAGUCACCCUUUACUUAGAUUUUGCAGAAAUGUACUCUUGACAUUUUCUAAACCAACUUCUUGAGGUAUCACCCUGGGAUGCUUUUUAAACAGUAUAGAAGGAGUUCCCAUCUAUGUUGGGCACUUAUUGGCUGCUUUUCUUUAUUAUUUGGUCCAAGUCAUCAAUUUCAAAAACCUUUUUUUAAUUUAUUUUUUUAUUAAAUUUUAGUUUUAUAAUGAAAUAAAUGAAUAUGGUGGCACAAUUAUAUUUUUGUCUACAAAACUAAUUUCAAACAUUUAAGCAUACGCCUUCAGAUCAAAAGAUUUUUAAGAUCAUGAGAAACAUUUCAGUCAAGUGUUUCAAAACUUUUGACUGGUAGUGUAUGUUUAUAUUUGUCACUUAUCACAAAUAAAAUUAAAGACGGAGAAGGUAUGAAUGCCCUCUUUUGGUGCUUACUGACAUUGCAAUUAAUCUUAAACCACCAAGCAGGUUUACUGGUAGUUUAUGAGUCAGAGAGGGACAUAAAAGUAAAAAUACAUAAAGAAGAAAAUACAUAAAAAGCAUACUUAUUUUACACUCUGUAGAAUGUUAUAUAUUUUGGAAACUUGUAUUUUCAAAUCUAGUUUUAUUUUUUACAUUUAUAGAUUUUGCACCUAAACAUCCAUAUCGUUUUUUUAUAGUACGCAGUGUCUAUACUGCGAGAAAACAUUCAGAGACAAAACAAUUUUGAAAGAUCACAUGAGAAAGUAGCAGCAUUGACGAAUUAAUGCCAAAAAUCAUGUCAACGACCGCUUCUGCAUCAUCUGUUACCUGGUAUAUCCAUGUGUUGGUUUGUAGUGUUUUUUAAUUUAUUUUUUUACAUCUAAUCAGAGCUAAUAAAUGCUCAGGUAAUUGAGAGAAAUCAAAGUUUAUAGUUUAGUCUUUUGAAUAAUUAAAUUUGUUAAUUUGUUAAGUUUAACGUGCAGUUUGAGCAUGACUUUUAUGUAGCUGCAAUGCUGCAGAAGUUGGGGAACACAUGGGAAGCGGUGCAGUCUGAAGAUGACAGAGAGCUGUAUGAAGAUGUAGAUGAUGAUUGGUCGGACUUGCAGGCUCACACUGUGUGCCUGUUUUGUGAACAGCAAGCAGAGACAAUGGAGAAAAUGUACACACACAUGGAGGUAUCUGACAUAUUCUGAUUUCACUGGCCAAAAAUAUAAAUCAUAAUGUCAGCAAGAAACAGCAACACUAUUUUUGUGUGGGUUUCUGUGGAUUUUCCUUCCUUUACUCAAUUUAAAAAAUAAUGUUAUUUUGUUUCUUCAGGAAACUCAUGAAUUUGACCUGCACAAAUUAAAAACAGAUCUAAGUGAGUAUAAUGGAACAACUGGGAGAAGCUUUGGGCAAUUUUAAAAAAGAAAACAUGCUCACAUGUUAGGCUAUUCAAAGUUAAAUUAGUUUUUUGGCCAGACCUAAAGUUUUACCAUCAAAUCAAACUAGUGAGUUAUAUCUGCCGUGAGCUCCACUAGUGCCGCUGCUACUGCUGUCAGAAGAAGUUUGGAACCAAAGAUGAGUUGGUUCAACAUCUUGUCAACAAAGGUCAUGUGAUGCAGCUACCCGAGGUCUCCACCUGGGACCAACCACAGUAAGCACUACAUCUUUACAUUGUCAGCAGGACAAGUGUUACAGUACAUCAUACAGAUAUAAUGGUCAACAAACCAACAAAGAAAAACUAUUCUGAUGCACACCUGUGACCGCAAAUUCUAUACUAAUGUGCCAAGUUGCUACGUUGCUUGGCAACCACAAACAGCUUAAAGGAACUUUAUUAUUUAGCAGAAGAAUAAUGUAUUCUGAAUGUUUAUCAAAAUUAGGGCUGUGAAUCGAUUGAUUACAUGAUAUGCUGAUGAAUUACUCGCAUUAAUCAUUUGCUGAGAAAGGCCCUCAAAUAACAAUAAUUCAAAAUAUAAUGAUGGAAUAAAUAUAAAUAGAUAUAUUUAAAUAAUUAUGAAUAUGUACUAUAAAUAUAAUAAUACAUAUAAUUAAAAUGCAUUAAAUUAUUGUGGCAGAUGAGCAAAACAUUGAUAAGACAAUACAAAAAGCGGCAUUAUAAGUCAAUAUAUUAUUUAUAUCCACAUUAUUAAACAUUAGCAUAUCAUUGGCCUGCAAUUGAAUUUGUCAAUCUGUUGAAUUUGUCAAAUGCUGUCACUUUUGUUAAGCAAGCCUGAGUUUGGUUUAUUGUAUGUACAGCUGCGUAUUGCCUAGCUGUAGUUUCGCUCCCUGCCUGCUGGAAACAGGUGGCACUUUAAGCUUGAAUUGCUCCGAUGGUUGGAAUAUUCCUUAUUACUAUCCGGGGACAUGAUUAAUUGCGUUAAUACUUUUAACAUGUUAUUUUUAUAUAAUUAUUCACUCUGAAUUAAUGUGUUAAAAUGACAGCCCUAAUAAAAAUGAAUCUGUUUAUUGAACAUUGGUUUCUUAUAUUGUAUUGCUGUUGCCACUGUUUUGGAGGGUUUUUUUUCUCCCCAAUUUGGAAUUCCAAGUGCAGUAUAAGUCCUCAUGGUGGCAUACUGACUUGCCUUAAUCCGGGUGGCGGAGGAUGAAUCCCAGUUGCCCCUGCUUCUGUGACCGUCAAUCUGUGCAUCUUAUCACGUGGCUUGUUGAGUGCGUUAACACGGAGACAUAGCACGUGUGGAGGCUUCAUGCUAAUCUCCACGGCAUCCACGCACAACGCGAGAACCACAUUAUAGCAACCACGAGGAGGUUACCCCAUGUAACUCUACCCUCCCUAGCAACCGGGCCAAUUUGGUUGCUUAGGAGACCUGGCUGGAGUCACUCAGCACGCCCUGGAUUUGAACUCGCGACUCCAGGGGUGGUAUUCAGCGUAUUUACUCGCUGAGCUACCCAGGCCCCCUUGCUGUUGCCACUGUUAAUUAAAAGCAAUAAGCAACUUGAAUCAAUGCAUUACAGUGAUUUUACCACAGGUUAGUGGGGUUUAGGGGCUUCAUGUUGUACUUUAGAACACCUCUUAUCCAUUGUAAAAUCACUGUAAAGGCUGGCCUCUUGUGACUUAUUGCUAUGGUAGAUGCUCUCAUGUUUAUGUGAUUUGUAAUUUAAAAAACGUAACUUGCCC